CCACGAUCGAAGAUUUUCAAAUAAUGGUAUACGCUGGUGAGAGUAGAGGAGGAGUUCUUCGCAAUGUUAGCUCCAGUAAUUAAAUGGGAGAAUAUUCCACAUAGUCUGGAAUUCAGUCUGUCUUGCCAGAGUCACGCACAAAAUGAGGCACUCCAGGGCCUGAGUCUCGUGAGUGGCGUGAUCUUAUGCCCAUCUCUAGUGUUAGAAGAGAGACAGAGAUAGCGAGAGACACACAGUCAUAUCAGCAGCGACUGCGCAGCGACAGAGAGCGGCGACGAGAAUGAACGCGGCUUGAAAACCGAAUGUGGAGUGAGAAAGAGUGGAAGAGAACUGUGGAUCAGGAGUGGGGGGUAAAGCAAGAGCAAAGCUUUCAAACGGGGGGCGAUUGAGAAGAUAACGUCUGAGAUAAUAGACACAUUACAUGCAUCCAAUGAUCGGGAGCACUCUCCAAUCGAACCUCGCUAAGCCGCGGUUUUGGUUUUUUUGCGCAUAUGAUCUGCUCUUUGUUGGAUUAUUUUCGUAUUCGGCCCCUGUCGUCGUCCGCCGAUGAUGAGAGAGCGACAGCCUUUGCUUCUCUUGUGAUGUCAUCAUUACUGGGAAUCGGUCGGAGCAAUUAUACAAUCAGGCCCGGCCCGGCCCGGCCCGGCCCCGUCCGGCGCUGCGAGCAUUAUAUCGGCUGUUCGUCUCGGCUGUGCAUAUAUCCCCAUUAAAGUGACAGUGGCGGGGCAUCAAUUCAGUGUUUUCUCAUCUUGUUUUUCUUGCGUGUAGGAUAAAUCUGAAAUAAAAUAAAAUAUCAUCAUGCAUAUAAAUCGCAAAUUGACAAAGUAAACCCCAAUCCAAUCCGAUCCGACCCAACCCAAACCGAGCUGAUUGUUGAUUGCUGUGUGAUUUUUUCCAUGAUUUCAGUGCUAGAGCUGCAGCUGGAGCUGGAGCUGGAGCUGUGGUUUGGUUUGGCGUGGCCUUUGCUCUAUUAAUUUGUGUUAAAAUUGAUUUUAAUAAAUAAACACUUUGAAUCGUU
rnacentral:sRNA from 1 species